CUUCAGCUCGGUGAACAGUGGUGAACAGAUCGCGCAGUCAAUCCUCUAUAAGUGUAUGGAUAUUCCUAAAUACGUAAAUAUCCGUUAACGAAAUAAGUUACACGGAUAUUUCUAAAAGACUUUUGAGUGACAGAUAUUAGCAUUUAAUUACCCAUCAAUUUAUGAACGAAAUAUAGAUAACUUGGUGACAAUACUCAAUCAUCUUCGGAAAUCUCAGGUACGGCAAAUGUGUUUAUAACAGAUUUGCAGUAAUUUGAAAUCAGGAAAACAGUUAUUAAACGCCUUUGAAAUCGUGAUCUGAAAUCAUUCUAAAUGAUUCGAAAUUAUGUAAAAUUAUAAGGUCGAAUUUAAUAAUCUCAUUCGUAAUGUCAGUGCCGGAUUUAUAGUUGUGGAAACCCUAGGGCAACAAAGAAGUGGGAGGCCCCUAAUUAUUUUUCAAACAAGAUGGGAAAAUUUCAUUUUUAUAGUGUAGCAAUAAUUUAUUGUGAGACAUAUGCAAUGAUGUCAACUAACACAUGUCGAUAUUGUAAAAUACAAAAAAUGAGCCACAUUAAAUUACAUCGUUAGGCGAAUGGAAUUUUGCGAGCUUUUUUCGACGCAAAGUCAUCAAUGAUAUCGGUAAAAUCCCGGAGAAAAUCACUUUCAAUGCUGAGUACGGAUAACUUUGACAAACGGCUUUGUCUCAUAGUAGUUCGUAACCUACUUUUUAUAAUUUUCAUUUUGGAAAAUGAGCGCUCUCCAGUGCAGUUCGACACCAUCAACACAAGAUACAUUCUCAAUGUAAUUUCAAUGUUUGGGAAUGUAGCUCUAAAUUUUUUUUUUUGUCAGAAGAGUAAUUUUACAUACCAUUUGCUAGGAAAUUUUACCAAAAAUUGUGUCGGCCCUGGUUGCCCCCCUCUAAACCCGGAACUGCGUAAUUUUAUUGCUAUUUUGUAACUUGAAACCGUCGGUCAUGCGGUAAACCGUAACUUGCGGGAAAAACGAAAUUUCUAUACUGAUCUUUCCCUAUAGAGUCGUUGCAAAAGCAUAAAUGAUUCUUUUUUCAUAUCCCUGGUGAUAAUGAUUUUUACGAUUUUCUACAAAUUUUUGUGGAAAGUUGGGACAUUGCGUACAAAAUUGUGUAUAAGCAUACUUUCUCAUAAAAAUUUGUAGAUUUUUGUGAAAAUUUGAAUUUUUUCAGUAAAAAAUCGAUACGCCACCACGAUUUCUAAAGAAAAUUGACAAUUUUUCACGAAAAACUAUGCAUAUUUACAAUUUUGUACGAAAUAAUACGGAAUGGCCCAAUUCCUGCCAAAAAAAUCGUAGUAGUAAUAAUUUUCACCAGGGAAGUUUCGCUAUGUUUCCGCUGUGAAAUUGAACUUUGUGCACGAUCGGUAGAAAAUAUUUAAAACUGCAUUUUACAACUUUAUUGUAAAUAAUUGGUGGGGCGGUUGGGUCAUAAAUCUCGUAAAAUCAGACUAACAGUAAAUCAGGUUGAAAGUUUCUGGAAUCAUUUGGCAUCGCUUUUACGCCUUGACGUUCGAGCGAAUUGAAACCCCUGACUUUUGAACUGUAUGAUCCGCGAAUGUUGUCGAGGCGCAUGAGUCAUUAAUUUUAUUAAUUUACCCAACACUUUUGUCAGAGCUUUCGCAUGUCGUUCAUUACAAAAUCUACAACCCGUUUGAGGUUUUUUCAAGAAUUUCCUUCCAUCGAGUUUAAAGGAUAUGAUGACUCAAUAACUCCAUUUUAAUUAUUGUUUUAUUUAUGUAUUUACUGUAUAUAUGAUAUUUCCACUAAUUAACAAAACGUACUUCGCAGCAUAUUUUGGCUACAUUGCGUCCACUUGCCACUAGAUAGGAUUCAGAGAUCGUCUUAUACCAUCUUUUAUUUUCGUACGUGGAAACAAUUAUGCAUAUGUAUACGUGACAAACACGUAUCCUUCGUUUCAACAAAUAGCAUGAAAUUCGUCGUUAAAUUACAAUGCCUUGGGGAAAAUCCGCACAAUUCAUAUCCGACAAGUUCUGUUCAACGGAAUAAUAGAAACCCAUUUUGCGCAGUGUUUGUUCCGUACGUUGAUCCAAGAACCGAGUCUUGAUUUCGCGGUAGCGACUCGGGUAAUUGUCGCCACUCAUCAUCGAAGUCGGAAUUUUCAGUGCCGAAGAGAAUAUGUCGGUGUCGCAGUGUGUUUACUUUGCGUGCGAGAAUGCAGCAUAGUCGGGCGGUCGACUCCAUCGCUCUUGGGGAGUAAGUAGGGGAACAAAAGCGGUCAGACGAUAGACAGUCGGCGUUCGAGUUUAUUUCGUCUGUCGUUGACGUGGGAAAAAGUGGCAAAAAGAUGUCGUUUGAAGAGGGAUUAAUGAUGUGUUUCGACGGUACAACAGGCGCCGAGAGUUUAGACUGGGAUGAUUCUGACGACAGUAAAAAAAAGGACAUAAGCCCAGAUGCUGCAUUUGAAGACGCACUUAACGACAUGACAGAUCUUUAUGGACAAACACCUCCUAGAACACGCUUCAACAGACGGCAGAAGGAAAAAAAGCAGAAAGACAUUCAAUCAGAGCUCAAGUCUAUUUCAAAGUCAGUGCACAGUAAACCACAAAUAAGUAGACGUAACACAUUCGACACUAUGUUGUUUAAUGAAAUGUGUGAUAAAGCUGACAAAGAUAGAGAUAGAGAAACUGAGGGCGAAGUGCUGAAAGAGGGAAGUCGUAGAAAUAAAAAGAAUUUGAAGCUGUUACGAGGUUCUGAAAGAGAUCUAAAAUUGGAUGUUUCUGCAGCUGUUAGUUAUGGCAAAAAAGCAGAGAAACCAUUAGUUAAAACACCUGUUAUUAGGGUUGAGACUAGAAACCGAUUUCGUAGUUUGCAUUCAAAACCAGUGGAUGUUGAGGGAAUAAAGAGUGAAACAGAUACACUUGAAACAACUCUUAAAGAAAGAGACGCUCUAUCCGCUAAGACUCCAAAAUCUCUAAGUUUAAAAGAAAGAGAAAUUUUUCAUGAUACCUUUUCGUUUUUAAUCAAACUGGGCAGUAACGACAAAGAACGAAAUUGUAGACGUCAAAUGAGUCACGAGGAGACAUUGUGGCAAAACGAAUUGAAAGACUUGAUAUGGCUUGAAUUACAAGCUCAUCACGCAGACCGUAGUCCAACAGCACAAGAUGAAUAUCUGUGCAGGCAGCGGGAAGCCGUCGGAUCAUUAUUGACUGAAAUUAUGGAAUUCAGAUUUGAUCCAACUAGUCUCUCCGAUACUGGAUCAUUGUCCACAAUUUCAGGUGACAGCGAAAUUGAAGAUGCUGUAAAUCCUGUUUUGACUGGAAAUUCUGACAUGAGUUUGUGUCCUGGUUGCCUGUCAAUGUACUGUCGUGCCUGCACACGUGCUCAAGCAGAGGCGUUAAAGCAAGUAGAAAAUCUUUUGGGAAGAUUGGAAGCAGCUGAAGCUCUUUACCCAUCAUCCCAUGCAUUGGCUGUUCAGUAUCCUAUGUACAAAAGCCAAGAAUUUAUGGGUAGAGUCAAGGCAUUGUGCCUCUGGUACAAUAUGACAAAGCAUCAAAAACUGAAAUUGUUGAUCCUAGGCAAACUUCUCACUCUUUUGAAUACAAAAAAGAGACAAGAAGAAUCGGCUGAUUCAGGCACAAGUUCGAGGUCAUCAGAUACAAUAGACUCUGUAGAUGCACGUCAAACUUUGGUUCGCUUUAAUUUAUCGCAGACGGAAGAGAAUACAAGUCCCAGCGACAGUAACACCAGUACAUCGUCUAUAGAAACGUCAUCACUUCAUCGUUUUUGGCCCUCCACCCCUGAAUCAGGAAUUCUUACACCUACGGAUGACGACAAAAACCAUCUUGACUCUUAUCUAAUGGAAUUAGACCGGCAUGCUUACAGAAAGUACAUUGAAGAUGUGUUAAAAAUUCGAGGCCUUCGAAAAAGUCUCCAGUUUUUAGAACGACUACAUACAUCAGUUUUGCGCAAAGUCAGAUUGACUUUGGAAAAAUAUGACGCCAGUGAUAUGGAUAGCAGUGCUACUGAAGAGUAUGAAGGCGACACAGAACUAAAACGAUAUGGAGCUUGGAGUCCUGAAUCAAAAGAGCUGAAUCUCCCAUCUUACAGGGCAGCAUUUGUAUUUCUUUCUCGUGUGCCGUUGGAUGUAGUACACGAAUUUCUGAGAAUGAGACUAGAACAGAAGCCUGAGCAGCCUAGUGCCCUAUCCGUUCGGCAAUUGAUGCGAGAACUACGUGAAGGUUUGAAAAUCGCAUGUGUACAUCGACAGAGAUUUGAAGAGCACUCUCUGGCUGCUGUUGCUGCUGAUAAAAAUACUAGCGAAAUACUUUUUUACGAAGAAAUCCAAGAAUUCGACAAAAGUUUAAAGGCGGUGUUUGAACUGUACUUAAAUUAUUUGCAACAAUGGGUUGAUAUGGUGCAGCACGAAAGUUUUCAAAAGAAUUUUAUUGAAGAAGAAUGGUCGUUCAUCAUUUCUAUUGCUGGUAAUAUCUCUGAUGGAUUCGAUAUAGCCAGCGUAAAAUUUUGUGAAAUGGCAUGUACCAUGAUAGAACAAGCCAAAGAAUUCUUAACCAGUCGGCCAACUGAAAUUUGGGAAGAAGCUACGGCAGAGGAAGACGAAGUUAAGUUGUUGAAAAACCAAAUCAUGACUGCAGCCAGAGAAGUGCAGGGUAUGUUUGUUAUUGCUAAAGACAAAGUGAUAAGAAAUAUUACGUUCAUCAAAUGCUUGAGACGGGAUAUCCAAAAAUUUUCAAAUAGCCCUGAAACUGCAGAGUCGAUCAAUAAGUUGAAAACCGCAGUGAUGGAUCUGAGACACCAAAUAACAUCGACAAUUGAAAAUGUGCAAAUGGGAGUAAAUGAAGCAGAAGAACCAAAAUUAGAAUCUGAUCGUCUGGCUUUGAGGUCCAGAGUAAGGGAAGUCUUACAUCAAGCUUAUAAAAUGGGAUUUGAAUACCACAAGGAACUUUGCAAGCUAUUCUUACCUGAGGAAAGAUCGGUGCUAGUUCGUGGCUUGGUUAGCUUUGCUCUUUUAUGGAUGGACUUUGUUAGAUCUUGCUGCGACCGAGGCCGUGGCCUAAGACCGAGGUGGGCAAAUCAAGGACUGGACUUUCUUAUGACAGUCUGUGAACCAUUGAACACAAAACAUUUAACGGACCAAGAGUUUGAGGAACUGAAAACUUCUAUGGACCGCUGUAUCUCACAUGUCAUUGGAACAGCCACUCCCACUUCACCUGCUGAUGUCGAAAAUUUGAGGAAACUGCCGCGUUCGAGAACAGCUUCUCCAGCUCGUCCAAAAAGCAGGACACCAAACAGCAGCAGCGUACAAAAAUAUCGAGAGAAUCUAGAAUUUCCGGACCCGGCAACAGUGUCACAAAAGAAUAAUUCGUCCAGUUUGACAGAUGGAGUAUCAGCUGUAACAUUAAUAGUACCUGAACACAAAUUACUAGCCAGACACCAGCGGGUAUCUCUAGCUGUCAAAAAAUUGGAACAAAAACUGGAUGAGGACUUGAUAAACAGACAAGUUAUCGGUCACGUGACGGAGAGGCGGCCAGCUGAUAGGGUUCAUAUUAAAUCGAGAUGUGUUACCUUUACCUGGCAGCGUGGUAUAAAAAUUGGUCAGGGUCGAUUUGGCAAAGUUUACACCGUUGUAAAUAAUAUAACUGGUGAGCUUCUUGCCAUGAAAGAAGUUCAGCUCCAGCCAGGCGAUCACAGAGCAAUUAGAAGGGUAGCUGAAGAAUUGCAGAUAUUUGAAGGAAUCCAACAUAAACAUUUGGUUCGCUACCACGGUAUUGAAAUUCAUAGGGAAGAAAUGCUCAUUUUUAUGGAAUUUUGCGCCGAAGGCACACUUGAAAGCUUGGUGGCUGGCAGUGGAAAUGGACUACCUGAACCACUGGUCAGAAAAUAUACCCAUCAACUCCUAUUGGCUGUUUCAGUACUACAUUCGCAUGGUGUUGUACACAGAGAUAUCAAAACUGCGAAUAUAUUUUUGACCGAUGAAGAGAAUUGCCUGAAACUAGGUGAUUUUGGUUCAGCAGUUAAAAUAAAGGCACACACGACGAUGCCAGGUGAACUCCAGGGAUUUGUUGGAACUCAAGCUUAUAUGGCUCCAGAAGUGUUCAUGAAAACGGAAUCCGAAGGACAUGGACGAGCUGCCGAUAUCUGGUCGGUUGGCUGCUGUGUAGUAGAAAUGUCCAGUGGAAAAAGGCCUUGGGCAGAAUAUGACUCAAAUUACCAAAUUAUGUUCAAAGUUGGUAUGGGCGAAAGUCCAACACCACCUAGACAUCUGUCAGUGGAGGGUCAUGAGUUUAUUGCUAAAUGCUUACAGCAUGACUCAAAGCUACGGCCAACUGCGGCUGUGUUGCUCACAGAUACGUUUGCUCGGUUAAGCGACGACGAUAGGUGAAUAACGAAAGAAUCCACUGACUAAAGUGUUCGCUACGGUAGGCUUUGUUAGUAUUUCUAUUAUUUUACCAGUACUAAGUAUUUUGAAUUAUUUUAUUCGAACUCAGUCAUUUUAUUGAUGAUUCAUCAAGUGAUGUAUUAGCGAGAAAGGGUUAUGCUGAGCAUACAAUCUUGUAUUUGUGACGUAUCUACAUGUUCGCAUGCGUUACAUAUACAUUACUGAUUACAUAUUUUUUAAGUGUCCAAUAUCGUUAUGAUUUCAUUGUAAAAGUACAAAGAAGGAAAGAAUUCUUUCUUCGGUAUAUAAUAUAUGUGCUAUUGUCAUAUGUGAUAUAUAUAGGUAUAUGUAUAUAAUGUUGAAUUAUAUUCGUUGAAUCAUAAGUGUAACAUGUCCAUAAUUUAAGCAAUCCUAUUCUUUAUUCAGUGAAUGACAGUAGUAAACCAAGUGCCUUGUAUUAGCACCAUGGCAUGAACAAAUUGUUUGCUUACGUUCGAUAUGUUGCACUUAUGAUUUAACGAAUAAAAUUCAACGUUGAGAUGUUGAAUCCAAGCACCUGAUGGAUAAUAGAUGUUGACGUAAUAGUUUCAUUUGAAAUGAUUUUGCUAUUGUUUGACAGGGUGGCCACUGGUCAGGGAAAACUGGAAAACCUGGAAAAGUCAGGGAAUUCUGAAAUUCUGGAAUAGUCAAGGAAAAGUCAGGGAGUUUUGCGGAAAGUCAGGGAAAUUGAUUUUUUUUUGUAGCUUGUAGAUAAAUUAGAUAGAAUACGAAUUUUUUUUUACCAUCACUGGACGGUUCUCUUUCAGGAUGACCACUGGUCAGGGAAUUCUGGAAAACCUGGAAAUGUCAUGGAAUUCUGCAAUUCUCGAAUAAUCAGGGAAUCGUUUACUAUAUACUUUUUUCAUACAAAUACGUCCCACAGUUUUUUUUAAGCUUUAGAUAAAUUAGAUCGAAUACGAAUUUUCUUACCAUCACCGGAAGGUUCUCUUCAAACUUUGAAUACUCCUAAAUAUUACCUUACAAACGACUGUGCAUCGGCUAGAUGGCUAGAUGGGACAGUGUGACCCAAGUAACGGGAAAAUUAUAAGAUUUCUUGUCUGGAAAACCUGGAAAAGGCAGGGAAUUUCGUGAUGGAGAUUUAGUGGCCACCCUGUUUAACGACUUGGUAUGUAGAGUAUUAAUUACAGGAUAUUUAAAUAAAAAGCAAUAACUGCAGGAA
rnacentral:misc_RNA from 1 species